GGCCGAGUGGCGGAAUCGGUAGACGCACGGGACUUAAAAUCCCGUGAGGGGCUUCCCUCGUGCGGGUUCGAGUCCCGCCUCGGCUA
rnacentral:tRNA from 1 species